rnacentral:rRNA from 1 species
UAUGCAUAUCAAUAAGCGGAGGAAAAGAAACCAACCAGGAUUCCCCUAGUAACGGCGAGCGAACCGGGAAGAGCCCAGCGUGUCAAUCNUGGCCCUUCGGGGUCCGAGUUGUGGUCUGGAGGGCGGCGCUCCGCGCGGUCCGAUCGCCAAGUCCGCUGGAAAGCGGCGUCGCAGAGGGUGACAACCCCGUGGGCGGUCGGCUUCCGCGCUUCUCGAGCCCGUUCCGCGGAGUCGGGUUGCUUGGGAAUGCAGCUCUAAGCCGGUGGUAAAUCCCAUCGAAGGCUAAAUAUCGGCGGGAGACCGAUAGCGAACAAGUACCGUGAGGGAAAGAUGAAAAGAACUUUGAAAAGAGAGUUAAAAAGUGCCUGAACUCGUUGAGAGGGAAGCGACGUGGACUCGUCGAUCCUUCGGGGGCCGAUGGGCCGCUCUUUGCGGCCCUUGACGCCCCCCGAGAGGUCAGCGUGGGUUGGGCGCCGCGCACAUCCCCGGAAGGCCGNCGUGCCUCCGGNGCUUGCGCGUCGCUCGACCGAGGUUUCCAGGRAGGCGGGCCCUUKACGGGCCCGGGAGGCUGUCUCCSKKCCCNCUCCGMCCKCKACGAGGGUGAAUCCYGSWYGGUCUUCUUUUCCCACCUCUUAUAAGAAUCUGCACUA